rnacentral:misc_RNA from 1 species
CAUGUUCUCUCAACCUCUGAUGAGGCUUGGAUGGUGGAGGUUUUUGCAGGCCAGCUUUGUUUGGUCUGCUCCUCUGAAAAGCAUUAGCGGUCGUCGUCUCGUACUGCAGGUGUGAUAAAUUAUCUAUGCCUAUGGUUUUGAGUGGUGGGGCUGCUUCUUAACACACCCAACUUUAUUGAAAA